GAUGAUAUGCCUGAUAAAAAGGAUUAUUUUGAUAGAAUAAAUCAUUCAUUUUUAAUAAUGUUUUCAUCA
rnacentral:tRNA from 1 species